rnacentral:lncRNA from 12 species
CUGCAUCUGAGCCCGGCCACACCACCUUCUCACCCACGCAUCGUCCGCCAGGGCCUUGCCACCACCCCAGGCGGCGCACCGGGAGCCGGCCCCCAGGAGAUGCACGGGUCUAGUGCAUCAGAUGAGCUCCAACUGAGUGCAGCACCCAGCUCGGCCAUAGGACAGAGGGACAGACAGGCCUGGGGCAGGGGCUCCCCGGGGAAUCUCACCCUGCAUGGAGGAGGCCGGAGGCACCACAGGAUCCUGGACAGGCAGAUCCGACUACACACACAGGGGCUAACUUGCGGAGCCCUGCUAGUGUCCACCACAGCAGCCAAAGCCCCUGAGAGGGGGCCCUGGCCAGGGGUCCCCACUCUAGGGCUCCCCAGCCAACAGUGGGGCCAGCGCUGGGCUGCGGGAGGCCCAAGGAAGCAGCAGCCACGUUUGAGCACCAGAGCGGAGGAGGGGGUGCAGGGCAUGCCAGGCAGCAGGUCCAGGCACUACAGUAUUUCCAUCCUGAGGUCCCUGAGACACCCCAAAUCUCACCCACUACCAGCGGGCCUUGCAAGCCCCCGCUGCAGGGUGCUGGCGCCCUCUAGCGGCACAAGUGCCGCGGCCCCUUCCCUGCAGCGGGGAGGACAGUCACCCUCCCAGAGGCAGGGCCACAGCACACUGUGCAGCUGGGACACUGUCCUUGGGGCUUCCAGUCCCUCCCCCCGUCCCCUCCGCAGCGAUUGCCACCUCCCGCAGAUGCAAAGUUCCACGUCCUCGCUCCCACCAUCCCCAGCUUGCUCGGUGGAUCCCAGUUUUAGGAAGGUGCAAAAUUACCGUAAACAACGCCCAACAGGCCUUCUCAACAGGAAGGCAAAAGCUUGGUGAGGAGUGAAGUUGGGGUAUGAUGCAGGCGUCCAGGAAGUGUUCCUGGGCCGCGUGGGAGACACCCACUGUCCCCUUCUGCAGGGCAGUCUGGACUACCCUACUAUUCCUAGAGCACUCACUCUCUCCAGGGGAAGAAGCAUGCAGGUGGC